AUCCUUAAACUACUACCUUCAGCCAUUACAUCUUAUGCUCGUUCCAUGGAUGGGGUGGACAUGACCACAAACCAGCAAGACACAUUAGCUCUGCUGUGCAACACCCAAUACGAGAUAAACAACCUCCGUAAGGAGAUAAUAAGACCUGCCCUCAACCCCAAAUUUGCAGGAUUGUGC